rnacentral:lncRNA from 1 species
AUCAAUUAUCUGAGCUACAUACAUCUGGUUACUCUCAUUGAAGUAAUGUGGAGCUGCUAGUCUAUCUUUUUAUUAUUAUUAUCUUAAGCAAAUACCAUCUGGCUGCUAUUAUUAGGGGCAUUGGAAUAUACGUGGUGGAAUGUUAUAGGUGUCUGUAAGUUGGCUCGGAUACCAUCUUUAUCAAGAUAUUAAGGCGCAAGGCGCUAAGGAGUUAUUUUCUCUGAUACCCAAGAUGUCUGUUUGUGCUGAGGAGGGAGUGUUUUCCACCAUUUGGUAUAGGUAGAUUCAGGGAAGAAAACAUCAUCGCCAAGAAGGCUACUCUGGAUCCAGAUAUUCGCAGCUGUUUCUAAACUCAGAACCCUGUCUUGCACUUGUGCAAAUAGCUUGUUUCUUAGUUCCUCCACUUCGGCCCAGAAACAAGACUCGGAACGUGCACCAGCUUGCACUUUAUCAAAAUGCUCUAACCAUCUCUGUGUGAACCGAUAACGCUUAGGCCUAGCCCUGAUCAAGUAAGGUCCAGUAUCUUCAUUCUUCAAGUGCCUGUAAUAGUUUGCAAUAUCCAAGGGCUCAACUUGCCUGCGAAACUGUGUCCCUAGUUCUAUCCAGUCUCUUCGUCCCUCAAAGCUAUCUGGGAGCUCAUACCUUUUCAACAUUUCAAUGAUCUCAUCCCAUAUACCUGCUAGCUCAAGCCUUUUCACAUUAGCUUUGAAGUCAUCUUCGGUGUUUUGAAUCUUGAAUGCAUCAUAAUACCCAACUUUACGGAUAUCACACUUGGUCUGGUACUCCUGUAUCUUGCUUAAUGCGUCCCUGAUGCUGCUCUUAUUUUGUUCAAUCUUUUCCUCGUUCUUCUUCUUCUGCUUCUCCCACUCUCCUGCUGCACGAAGACACAGCCUUGCUCUUGUGCUCUGAGAUUUAGAUAAUGUGAAAACGCCUAUUAGCUUGAGCAAGAUAGACAAUUCUGUUGAAAAUGAAAAAUUAACCAUAUCUAUUGCUUACCAGGCCAAGGUCAUUCAGUGCUGAAUUCAUACUUGCAACUUCACCCCUUAGAUCAACAUUUGAAGAUAAAGGAAUAUCAGUGAGAUUGUUGAGAUGAACAACAUCUUGCAUCUCUAAGCUAUCUUGCAUUUCGUUUUUAUAUAACAGAUGAUCAUUUAAGCUUCUAGCACCGACUACUGCAGCUUCUGCUUCGGAACUCAGUUGAGAGGAAUAGAACAGUAACUGCAGAACAGCAUCAGGGUUCUCAACGACAACCAGUUUCCUAUUCCCAGUGCAGAAGAUGUAAGUUCCAAAGGGUCUAUAAGGGCUGAGUUGAACAAUGUUGGAAACAGUUUCCAACAGCAAGUUUGUGCAUCCCUUCAGAUUACAUGCAGCAUAGCUUGCAACAGAGGAUGCAUUCCUCAUUACAGUCAUAAAGAAAUUCAAUGCAUUACUUGAUCGUGCAACAGCAUCGCGCUGAGAAUACUGGGACUUCGGAUUGAUGAAGGGAGAGAUUGCUUGAAGCAAUUCUUGAAUUGAUGAAAGAGGAGCAAGCAUCAUCCUGGGGACAAUGUCGUACUUCAUGACAAAAUGUAUGAAGUAACGAGCCCAGUUUUCGCGCCUGAGGGCAUGAGACCAUAUCUUGUUGCCAACAAGAGGGGAUCCAAAAGUCAUACAGUAUAGAUGGACUAACAUGUCACCUUCUGGUCUUGUGCGGCAACAUUCCAGACACCAGAGAGCUGCCAGAAUAGCUAUAGCACCACCGGACGAGUGCCCUGCAAACACUACUUGUCUUCCUUUUGACAUUGCCGUCUCCACCUAAAACCAACACAACUCCAUGAAUCAAUAUUCACUUUCCAAAUCAAAGAUGAAGGUAUGAAGCUUAAUUUCCAUUAACCUAGUCUACACUCUACAGAGGCAUUAUCAUGAUAGAAUCUAUGAUAGGAAUCAGUACUCUAUUUAAACUUGGAACAUAUUGCUGACAUGAUAACUAAUACUCCCUUCUUUGCAACUUAAGUGUCUUACUAUCUUUUUUGGUCUGUUCCAAAAAAGAGUCUCUUUUUAUAUCUUGUAAGUUUUCCAAUCCCAACACUCUACAAGGAGUUUAAGACCAAAAGAUUUAUAGGACUACACACAUAUUUAAAAGUCUCCCUUUAUUUCUUAAACCCCAUGUCUAGUCAAACUAUGACACUAAAAUUAGGACGGAGGGAAUAAAUAAACCACUAGACGGAAUCAAGUUGAUCAAACUGAACUAUCAGGAGUAGAACUUCCAAUGCUCUUAAAAAAAAUUGAAUCAAAAUGAAAAAAUUCUUUGUCUAAAGACUUGCACAGAAUUUGAUUCUUUAACUGGUGUACACUCAAGAUGUAAAAAACAUUUAUCUAUAGGUUAUACUAAUAUUAAACACUACAAUUUUUUCGUGUCAAGUCAAAAUCAAGACAAACAAAUUGAAACAAAAGGAGUUUUAAGAAAGAACAAGAUGAUUGAACCCCAGUAUGUAUACCUCCUUUUUAAGUGAAGAUUUGUCCAGUAUGUCUUGAAAUCUUCUAGCAAAUGCUUCAUUGACCUUAGCUACCUCAUCAGUGCCAACACUUCUCAAAGAUGGAAACAGAGUGGUGUUAAUCUCUGUCUCUCCAAAAGAAGUGUUACUGUACCAACCAUCAAAAGACAAAGUUCCAGCAAAAGCAAAAACAACAUCAGUAGACCGAUCUAUUUUCUUGUAAAUAUAAGGUAUCCCAGGUGAUAAUUUGUGAGCUUCCAUGGCUAAGUUACAAGCUUUCUUGAUUAGCUCUUCUCUGACUUCAAAUUCCUUCUUCCAAAUUUUUCACCAUUUUUUGCUUCUUAGCUGCUUAAAGAUUGCAACUUUACUGUUUAGUUUUCAAAAAUCUUUGAAGAAAGAUUGAGGAUGGAGAGAUGGAAUGAAGGUAAAGGGGAAAUGGGUAUUUAAGCUUUUGGUGAUUGGAUGAAAUGUAGAGGAAAUGAGUCAUUGACUUUUGAAGUCUUUGUUUUGCUUUGCUUGACUCUUGCCUGUGGAAAUUGAAUAGGAAGAUAAAUAGUAUCUAUCAAGGAAAUUUCCUACUAAUUGUUCUGCAAAAUGGUUAAUGUACGGACUCUUCAAAAAUGUUAUUUUUAUAGAAAUGAUUACUGUGGAAGGAUUUGAUAUGCACUCGCUUUUUAUUUGUCGUGAAUUCCCCUUUAUGUCUUCCAUAAGAACAAGAGGGAUGGGCUCUCCGCCAACACUUUUCAUAUACUUGUCGACAUUUUUAAAAGUUUGAACGACAUUGUAUAUUUUACUUUUAUUUUUGUUCUAGCUUGUUUCAAAAAAAUAUAUCAUAUUUCUAUUUUACUUUUUAAAAUAGUACUCCCUCCGUUUCACAAAGAAUGACCUUCUUUCCUUUUUAGUCAGUUUCAAAAAAAUGACCUCUUUCCUUUUUUGGUAACAUUUUACUUUUUGCUUUCCACGUGACAUGUUUAAGACCACAAGAUUAAGGACAAUUUUGUACAUUUAACAUAACUUUAAUUUAGGACCACAAGAUUCAAAAAUCUUCUUUAAUUUCUUAAACUUCAUGCCAAGUCAAACCAGACCAAUCUUUUUGAAACGGAGGGAGUACUUUAAUAUAAGCUAAUAUGUAAUGUUUAAGAAUACAAAUACUUUUAUUUUGUUAUGCACGUAUUUAAUUUAAGAGAACAAAAUUAAAAGAAUCUUUUUCUUUAUAUUCUACUCCCUCUGUCCCAUUUUAUGUGAGAUAGUUUGACUCGGCACGAAGUUUAAGAAAGAAAUGAAGACUUCUAAAAUUUGUGGUCCAAAAUGAAUGAUAGAAAUUUGUGUGGUUGAAGAAAGAUUGAGGAUGGAGAGAUGGAAUGAAGGUAAAGGGGAAAUGGGUAUUUAAGCUUUUGGUGAUUGGAUGAAAUGUAGAGGAAAUGAGUCUUUCAUAAGAGCAAGAGGGGUGGGCUCUCUACUAACACUUUUCAUAUAUUUGUCGACAUUUUUGAAAAGUCAUUUAAAAUGAAAUAGUAUAUUUUACUUUUAUUUUUGUUCUAGUUUGUUUCAAAAAAAUAUAUCAUAUUUCUAUUUUACUUUUAAUAAUAGUACUUUAAUAUAAGAUAAUAUGAUAUGUUUAAGAAUAUAGGUAUUUUUAUUUUGUUACACACGUAUUUAAUUUAAGAUAACAAAAUUAGAAGAAUUUUUUUCUUUAUAUUCUAAUUUUUAUGCACAUUACACAUCAAAUGCGACCGACACAUGGAAAGUGAAAAGGGGGGAGCAUAUUGGUGCUAUUAUAUUCUUUCUCUUGAUUAUAUAUUUUGAAAAGUUGGUACUUUCUUUGUUUUUUCUUUAAAAAAAUUUAUAAGAAAUAAAGGUUGGGAAGUUAGACAAGGCAACUCGUUUUGAAGAAAAAUAAAAUUUUGGGAAUGACAAUCAAAAUAUCUCGUGUUCACCUUGGAUCCAAAGAAGGGCCUAACCCGAGAUACAAAUAGAAUAGAAAAGCUACUUUGUUAUUGUCUCUAUUUGAUUAAGGUUUAUUAAAACUGUUUAGUGAUUAACGAGCAAAACAAACAAUUCUAAUAGACUAGAGUUUAGUUUUGCACAUUAUUAAAACUGCUUUAUGGACAAACUCCCUUUCACUAGUUCCUUGAAGGUGACUUGUAAAAAGCCCAUGGUUCAGCAGAAGUAUACUCUGUCACCUGCUUAAUGUUCAAGAAACUUUCAAGACCCCUGCAUCAAUGCACAAACGAUUAUCACUUAUCAGUCCGAUCAGAUCAGAUCAGAGGUAUCAAGUUUGUGCAUUGAAAAAUGAUACAUAGCUACUUAUCUGGCUGCUCUUAUUAGGGGCAUUGGAAUAUACGUGGUGGAAUGUUAUAGGUGUCUGUAAGUUGGCUCGGAUACCAUCUUUAUCAAGAUAUUAAGGCGCAAGGCGCUAAGGAGUUAUUUUCCUUGAUACCCAAGAUGUCUGUUUGUGCUGAGUAGGGAGUGUUUUCCACCAUUUGGUAUAGGUAGAUUCAGGGAAGAAAACAUCAUCGCCAAGAAGGCUACUCUGGAUCCAGCCAUUUGCAGCUGUUUCUAAACUCAGAAUCUUGUCUUGCACUUGUGCAAAUGGCUUGUUUCUUAGUUCCUCCACUUCUGCCCAGAAACAAGACUCGGAAC